UUUUCCUUCUUCCUCGGUUUUUCUUUUUCUUCUUCACCAUGAACGCCGGCCGCCUCUAUCACCCCGCAGCCACCUCAUGCAGCGUUCAUGAAGGGCCGCCGUUUACCCAUAAACCGGGCGGCCCUUGACGGGAGGCGGAACGACGCCGGCCACGAAAAGGGCCGGCGCUUACUGCAUGCGGCGAAGCCAGCGAAUAGCCGGUGCUGAGGAAAUCGUCCGGUUGGCCGGGGGGUGACAGGGUGAAUUUUUCGGCAGUGGGCUUGCGAUUCUGCAAGCUUUCGGUUUAGUGCACAGUGGUUUUCAUGGUGUCUCCAGCAGGUUUAGCAUAUACAGUUAUGGAAAAAUACCCACACAUAUCAAAAUUCACUGCAAAACAGGUCCUUUGUUUUAACCUUCUUCUCAAACUUUCUCUGCAAGAAAACCUUCUGUUUUUCUUCUCUCCGGCCAAUUCCAUUUCCCACAACGAAAUGACGAAUCAGAAUAGUUUUAACUACAGUUCUUAUAAAAUUGUAGAACCUAUUCAUCUUUCUUCAUUCACAGUUAUUCCGUUGGGCAUUCCUGAUAUGCCUCCACCAGCUAAUCGAAUCUUCCAAGGCUUGGUAAGUUUGUUUUAUUUUCUCCACCAAAUAUUUAUUUUGAAGAAAAAUAUUGAUGAUCUUUAUAUAUAUAUUCGAACAGAAUUACAGACAAUGGUUGACAAAGCUAGGAGAAGACAACAAUCUAUCUAAAUGGGAGAUCUUCGAGUCAAAAAAUGGGAAGCUCGUUGGAUUGGGCAAAGGAGGAAAACGGCUCUUCCGCAUCAUUGCACAAAACCUACGGGCUCUACACAUAAGAAACGAAUAUUGUGUGGAUCUUAUAAGACGUCUGCACAUUAGAAUGCCUGGUAAUGUUGUUUAUUUUCCAUAUUUGCCACUAAGAGGUAACACUCAUAGUGGUAUAGAGAAAGAUGUUGAACACUUUCGAUUUCUGGUGGGAAGACUUCUGUUAGAGCAUAUAGGAACAAACAAUGAUACGAAUCAUCUUUUAAAAGAAAAGGUUAAAUUCAAUAGGAAGAGGAUUGUAUCAUUGUUUGUUCCUAUAUGCUCUAACAGAAGUCUUCCCACCAGAAAUCGAAAGUGUUCAACAUCUUUUUCUAAUACCACUAUGAGUGUUACUUCUUAGUGAUAAAUAUGGAAAAUAAACAACAUUACCAGGCAUUCUAAUGUGCAAAUGUCUUAUAAGAUCCUCGCAAUAUUCGUUUCUCAUGUGUAGAGCCCGUAGGUUCUGUGCAAUGAUGCGAAAGAGCCUUUUUCCUCCUUUGCCCAAUCCAACGAGCUUUCCAUUUUUUGACUUAAAAAAUCUCUCAUUUAGAUAGAUUAUUGUCUUCUCUUAGCUUUGUCAACCAUUGUUUAUAAUUCUGUUCGAAUAUAUAUAUAUAAAGAUCAUCAAUAUUUCUCUUCAAAAUCAAUAUUUGGUUGAGAAAAUAAAACAAACUUACCAAGCUUUGAAAGAUUCGAUUAGCUGAUGGAGGCAUAUUAGGAAGGCCUAACGGAACAACUGUGAAUGAAGAAAGAUGAAUAGGUUCUACAAUAUUAUAAGGCCAAAUUUAGCGGUUCAUAAUCUAGCUAGAGAGACCGCCACCCAUGGCAUAGAUUUAAUCUAGACGAAAGUCAUCCCUCCUAAUAUCUAUGAUAUUAUGGUAUUGUAUUGAGGCGACUCUCAAUCCCUUCUUGAUAUGAUUUUUUUUCUGAAGAUUUCAGUGAAUUUCCUAUUGACUAUGAAGAUUUCAAAGGCGGUGGUGGUAGUGGCAGUGGCAGUGGCGGCGGUGAUGGAGGUGGAGGCAGAGGUGGCAGCAACAGCAGCAGCACUAGUAAUAGUGCCCCCUUUAGUUAUCGUGACAUCAAUGGGAAAAGUUUGUAACUCAAGAAUGAGGCAUCUACCCAUAGGAGUUGCAUGCAACAAGAUGAAUGGUGCUUAAUUAGCUACACAUCCCUCUUCCCUUCAUGACGUGCCUCCUUAGACCCGGAAUAUGGACAUUUGUGAUGUAAUCUCUCCAAUCUAUGUUGCCCACAUCAAACCCAAAGCUGCUCUUCUCUUCUUCAGACAUGCUUUCCAUCAAUCUUUGAGUAUUGCUGUUAUCAAACCUGCACCACAGUUUGUCAUUCAGAUAAAGUUUUCACAAGAAAGGAGAUACAAAACCAUGGAGAAUCAAAAGCAUUUUGUGUUUUAAGUUGUUUGUCAACAUUUUUGUUUUAAAGAGAAAGAACAAAGAGAGAAGGCAAAACAACUCCUUUACAAUCACACCUAUUUUAUGACCGGAAAAUGUUUGGUGUACUGUAACUCCUAUACAAAGGUGCCACGUGGCACAACAUGUAGUAAAAGUUAAGUGCCACGUGGACUAUUAUCAAAUCAGUUUACAAGGAACAUGUAGUAAAAGCUAUAAUACUCCUAUCAACACUCUUUUAAGACCCUUUUUUUUUUCUUCUUCUUCCAAUAAGAUUGUGCCAAUUUUGAUCCUAAUGAGCUUCUAAAUUUUUCUCUCCUUUUGGAAAUCA